GUGCUCGCUUCGGCAGCACAUACACUAAAAGUG
rnacentral:snRNA from 1 species